rnacentral:lncRNA from 1 species
UGCAUCCAGAGCAGGGAUAAUGGUCUCGGAGUCCCCUGUUCACCCCACAGAUGGGCCUACGUAUGAUGAGGUCACCUUUGGACAACUAACAGUCCAGCAGUGAUCCAGUGUGUCAACACAGAUGAGGUCUCUGAAAGCGGGGGCCAGGGGUCUCGGGCCCCUGAAAUGUGUAUAAGAUUUGUGUGUGUCCAUAUGGGCCUUUUUCCCAUUGAGGGUGUCAUUUUCAUAACAUUCUCAGAUGAUCCAUGACAUUUAUUCACUUGUUAGAUUUACUCUGUGCUGCAGGCGGGAGUGUCUCAUGACUUGGGAGACCCGAGGCCCAGUCCUGGCUCUGCUGUGUAGGGACUCUGACCCCGGAUCAGUCACUUCUUUCCUUGAGCCUUGCUUGGUUUUGCCUUCUGUGAACAAGGUACAACAUUCUUUCUCUUCCUGCCUCCCUGGGUUCACAUUUGGGAGAAUGUGUACUCACAGGCUCAAAGGUUACCUGAGAGCAAAAGAGAAUUGGGACCAUGUUGUUUAAGAAAAUCAGAAUCAGUGACAGUGGCUAUAUUAACCAAGUACUUCCUGCAUCCCAAGAGCUCCCCGACCUAGCUCACAGUGGCCACACUGAGCCCAGAUCCUGUCAGUUCCCCUAGUCCCAAGGGCUCUGGGCUCAAAAAGGAAGGCAGUUGUGUCCUGAGUGCUUGGUGGGGCCACUGCCCAGUCAUACUGUGACCCUCACCUGCCACAUCCUGGCCUUUAAAGAGAUGUCUGUGGUCGAGCUGCCGUCAGCCUCCUGUUCAUCUGCGUAGUGACCACCAUGCAAGACUGCUCCUCAGGUCUCCCUGGCUGCUGUCCAGGGACUCUUCAGUCCCCUGGCCAUGCCGCAGCCUUGGGCAUCCUCUCUUUAUCUCUUUACACCAAUGAUAUUUCAAAUGUCCAGAACCCAGAGGCAGAGCUCUCUGAUGUCAAUUGUUGGGUAGACUCCCUGUGAAUUCUGAGUGGAUCACAGAAGCCUAAGAAAUUCUCUCCUUUCUUCUUUACCCCAUAAUCUGAAAAGACACCCAACAAAUUCAUCUUUCGGUUUAAAUUUGGCCAGUGUCUUUAGUCUCCGGAUGUCUCAAAUUAUGAAUCCUGAGCACCCGCCGUCUGCUCUUUCAUGCAUAACGAAUGGAGCAGGAAGAACAAAGUUGCCUUUCAGAUUUGAUGUGACCUUCAGCUUCUCUCAGUAGAUGUUGGAUCUUCAGGGGAAAUCAUCCCAAUUAAAUCUCCCUGAGGGCUUGUGACAAGCCUAGUUUGGUAAUCAGGGUGAGUUCCACGGCUGGGGUGCUGCCUUGGGCCUGGGCUUCACCCAUCUUUCCUCCACCUAUCCCCGCAUGUGAAUCAGCAGGUGGCCUUAGGAAGUGACCUUUGACCCCAUCAGUCCUUUAUGGCCAACAUCAGUGUUACCAAUCCUUGCAGCUUUGCCACAAGAGCAAAGGACACCCAAGCCAAGAUCCUCCUGCCCUGCUGUGCUUGCACCAAACCCAGCAGUGAGCAGCUUGGAACUUGGGAACAGCCGGCCGUGGCUUCUUCACAGAAAGUCAGGGCAGGGACCAACUUCACAGACCCACCACAACAGAACCUUCCUCAGGUGGCUGCCCUUCGGGGCCACUUCUCUGGACAUGCCCAGGUUAAACUCAGGGCCAAGGCUGCAUCUCAUCACAUCGGGCACCCAUUGCUGCCAGCAGUGUCAUCCAGCUUGCCAGUGUGGCCCCAGCAUGAGCCUGAUGUCCCUCAGCAGUAAGGCUCCUCUGGCAGUGGAGGUGAAUGCCAGCCCCAGAGAGGGAGGGAGGAGGGAGCACACCUCUGAACACCCGAAGCAGUCACACAGCCCAUUUAAGCUCCCUCAGCAACAUGCUAGUGGUG